rnacentral:rRNA from 2 species
GCUAAGGUAGCAUAGUCAUUUGUUGUUUAAUUGAUAACUGGAAUGAAAGGUUAAACUAAUUUAUUAAGUUUGUAGAACUAGAUAGUAGAUUAAAGUUAAGGUAAGAAUUCUUUAAUAGUCUAGGGGACGAUAAGACCCUAGAAGCUUAACAAGCAUAGUGCUGGGUUUGUUUUAGAAGUUAGUUUGUUUUACUGGGGCGGUAAAAUUAAUUAAGCUAUUUAUUGUUUAGAGGAUCCUUUAUAUAAAGAAAUAAUGGAUAAGUUACUCUAGGGAUAA